UAUAAAAAAAUUAGGGGGGUUCCUUGAAAUUUAUUCUGAGGUUUAUGUUUACUUAUCUUACGGAAGUGAAACAAGACAAUAGGAAGGCCUUGUGAUAAAACAUAACAGCUUUUAUUCCAGUUAUAAAAAUGUUCAUUCUGCCAUCUAUCUGCUGAGUUCCCAGAGCUCACUAUGGAAUUUUGCUAUGCAAUGAGGCCACAUAGCUUUUCACUGGACUUUCAAAAUUCAGUUGGCUUAUGCUCAGGUGGAAAGGAAGAGUCAUGUAUACUAAAAAGAAGUGACAAGAUUGCUUUAUAGGAGGUGAUGUCUGUUGCAGCUGAAUGCAGAGACAGCUUGUUACUACAACCAGCUUCAGUCAAGCUGCUUAUUGUCAGAUCCAUGAAGAACAUAGCUCAUCCAAGAACGAUUCAAGAAAACAACUUCUUGAGAGAAGUAAUAUGA
rnacentral:lncRNA from 1 species